UUAAUUGCGCAACCGCGUCGUCUGUUCUGUGAGUCCCUCCUCCGAUGUGGGGAAAGCAAUAAAAAAAAAAAAAAAAAACUGUACAACUUGAGGUGGAUUGUCAAAUAUGAAAACAAUGCCUAGCUAGCAGUGGCUAGCACUGCUGGGGAGGCGCUUUGGAGCACCUGAAGCAACUAAAACAAGUUCCUCCGUGAUGAAGACGUGAGGGUACCUAUGAUGCCAUGCACCCCAGUAGUGACCCAUGUUGGACGAUAUGAAAUAUAUUUUUCAUUCAUCUUGUUUCCUCCAAAUAAAGUACAAGUGACAAACU